AGCUGCGGCGAAGCUGUUUCUGAAGAUGGCGGGUGUUGGGCACUUUCUGCUUCCUCGACUCUACUCCUGCACUCUGAGACUGACUGUAUAACAUUUCCGAUUUUCUUUGAUUUGUGCUAUUGUUUUUCUUAUAGUCAAGGGAAAUGUGAAAUAUUAUUGUACCUCUGCCUGUCAAAAUUUAGAAAAAUGAAAAAUAGACCAAAGUAAGUUUAUUGAAGACAAACAGGCCUUGGCCCGCUGCCUCUGUCUCUCCUGCCUUCCCCACUGAAACUCCAGCCCACAUUCACAAACAAAGACAAACCUGUGCGAACUGAAGCACCACAAAACUACUUUUAUGAAAGCAGAACGGAAGAUAUCACCUGCAUUUCCUACAUUCAGGUGAAUCCUUUAAAUUGACUGAGGCACAUCCUGUACCAAGAAGAGACCUUUGUUACUGCCUUUGAUCCUGAGACCUUCUGAGCCAGGUCAGACCUUCAGAAUGAUGAAGAACUCAUUUGAGGACAAGUACCAAUUCAGAGCUGAUGUAAAGUAGGCAUUUUCAAGAAGAAGAAAUACUUCUCAUGUUUGAACUGUCCUCCUUGGUAUAACCAUGCAUUUAUGGAAGAUGAUGUUACCAGCAGCCAUGGGGGAUGACGCAGAGGGCCCAGAUGGGUGGCUGAAGAUUACAGGAGAGGAAGAGUGAUCUUGGGGAACUCUUCAUUUUAAGCUUGUAUGAGAAAGAAGAACCGGUGAUGCAGGAAGUCAAAUACCGCCAGCUUAGCGGGUCAGCAUCCUCUCCUCCCACAUAAGCAGAGAUCGGAGCAUGAGAUAAAAUACCUGGAUGCCCUUUGCUCCAGCCUCGUGCUCCCACAACUUUGCUUCUGACAGAGUACUUAUCUCUCUGACCACUGGGAAACUGCUAAAAGAGAGAAACUUGAAACGGAUUGGACUUUUCUGUGCAAAUCUUUUUGAAAAUUGCCACCUCCCGGGUUAGCUUUUAAGAGAAGCCCAAUAUAUUAGGAACCUGAAAAUAAAAGGAAUUUUGCACAUUGAAACAUCACUUGCUAUUAGUUCUAUUAUUGGAAAUGGAAAUAUGGAAUUCUAGAAAAAGAAAUGUCAUUAUAGGGUUAGGAAUUAACCACUUGCUACCUAUGUUAAUGUGAUGUGGUUAAAAAAAGCUGUAGGAAGUUCCUGAAAUUAUUGAAACAAAAAUAAAGUAUUUACCCCUGG